GUCUUCGUGGCUCAGAUGGUUUAGAGCGUUGGUCUCAUACUCUGUAUGAUCCAGUCCCAGGCUGGGAUAUCCAAAGGUCGUGAGUUCGAGCCUCACCGAGGACA